ACGGGUGAGUAAUACAUCGGAACGUAUCCUGGAGUGGGGGAUAGCCCGGCGAAAGCCGGAUUAAUACCGCAUACGCUCUGAGGAGGAAAGCGGGGGACCUUCGGGCCUCGCGCUCAAGGGGCGGCCGAUGGCGGAUUAGGUAGUUGGUGGGGUAAAGGCCUACCAAGCCGACGAUCCGUAGCUGGUCUGAGAGGACGACCAGCCACACUGGGACUGAGACACGGCCCAGACUCCUACGGGAGGCAGCAGUGGGGAAUUUUGGACAAUGGGGGCAACCCUGAUCCAGCAAUGCCGCGUGUGUGAAGAAGGCCUUCGGGUUGUAAAGCACUUUUGUCCGGAAAGAAAUCAUCGGGGCCAAUACCCCUGGUGGAUGACGGUACCGGAAGAAUAAGCACCGGCUAACUACGUGCCAGCAGCCGCGGUAAUACGUAGGGUGCGAGCGUUAAUCGGAAUUACUGGGCGUAAAGCGUGCGCAGGCGGUGCUGUAAGACCGAUGUGAAAUCCCCGGGCUUGACCUGGGAACUGCAUUGGUGACUGCAGCGCUGGAGUAUGGCAGAGGGGGGUGGAAUUCCACGU
rnacentral:rRNA from 1 species